UACGUAGGGGGCAAGCGUUGUCCGGAAUCAUUGGGCGUAAAGGGUAGGUAGGUGGUCUCAUUUGUCUGGGGUGAAAGCCUUGAGCUUAACUCGAGAAGUGCCCCGGAAACGGUGAGACUGGAGUCUUGGAGAGGUUAGCGGAAUUCCCGGUGUAGCGGUGAAAUGCGUAGAGAUCGGGAGGAACACCAGCGGCGAAGGCGGCUAACUGGACAAGUACUGACACUCAACUACGAAAGCGUGGGGAGCAAACAGG
rnacentral:rRNA from 1 species